AAGGUUAAUCUGUAGCUUAUAACGAAGAAGUAAGGUAAAUAGACUACACUUGUGUUCUUUGACGAAAGUGUAUUCGAUGAUAUUGUAAAUGCUGAUUAAAUACUAAUGAGUCAACAAACGUGCCUAAAUGCUGGUUGCAUUCAAUGCCAUUCCUAUAUAUGAUGAUGGCCGAUUGAUCGUUAUUCAUUAGCGAUUCUUAAGAGGAUCGAUGAAUGAUAGUUUAAUAGUUUAGAGGGAUAUUCUGCAUUUA